GAGUUUGAUCCUGGCUCAGAUUGAACGCUGGCGGCAGGCUUAACACAUGCAAGUCGAACGGUAACAUGAGUGCUUGCACUUGAUGACGAGUGGCGGACGGGUGAGUAAAGUAUGGGGAUCUGCCGAAUGGAGGGGGACAACAGUUGGAAACGACUGCUAAUACCGCAUAAAGUUGAGAGACCAAAGCAUGGGACUUACGGGCCAUGCGCCAUUCGAUGAACCCAUAUGGGAUUAGCUAGUUGGUAGGGUAAUGGCUUACCAAGGCGACGAUCUCUAGCUGGUCUGAGAGGAUGACCAGCCACACUGGAACUGAGACACGGUCCAGACUCCUACGGGAGGCAGCAGUGGGGAAUAUUGCACAAUGGGGGGAACCCUGAUGCAGCCAUGCCGCGUGUAUGAGGAAGGCCUUCGGGUUGUAAAGUACUUUCGGUAACGAGGAAGGUGGUGUAUCUAAUAGGUGCAUCAAUUGACGUUAAUUACAGAAGAAGCACCGGCUAACUCCGUGCCAGCAGCCGCGGUAAUACGGAGGGUGCGAGCGUUAAUCGGAAUGACUGGGCGUAAAGGGCAUGUAGGCGGAUAAUUAAGUUAGGUGUGAAAGCCCUGGGCUCAACCUAGGAAUUGCACUUAAAACUGGUUAACUAGAGUAUUGUAGAGGAAGGUAGAAUUCCACGUGUAGCGGUGAAAUGCGUAGAGAUGUGGAGGAAUACCGGUGGCGAAGGCGGCCUUCUGGACAGAUACUGACGCUGAGAUGCGAAAGCGUGGGGAGCAAACAGGAUUAGAUACCCUGGUAGUCCACGCUGUAAACGAUGUCGAUUUGGAGUUUGUUGCCUAGAGUGAUGGGCUCCGAAGCUAACGCGAUAAAUCGACCGCCUGGGGAGUACGGCCGCAAGGUUAAAACUCAAAUGAAUUGACGGGGGCCCGCACAAGCGGUGGAGCAUGUGGUUUAAUUCGAUGCAACGCGAAGAACCUUACCUGGUCUUGACAUCCACAGAAUCUUGCAGAGAUGCGAGAGUGCCUUCGGGAACUGUGAGACAGGUGCUGCAUGGCUGUCGUCAGCUCGUGCUGUGAAAUGUUGGGUUAAGUCCCGCAACGAGCGCAACCCUUAUCCUUUGUUGCCAUUGGUUCGGCCGGGAACUCAAAGGAGACUGCCGUUGAUAAAGCGGAGGAAGGUGGGGACGACGUCAAGUCAUCAUGGCCCUUACGACCAGGGCUACACACGUGCUACAAUGGCGUAUACAAAGGGAGGCGA
rnacentral:rRNA from 1 species